GGGCUCAGUGGUAGAUCAUCUUCUCGGCAUGUAGAAAGGUCCCAGGUUCGAUCCCUGGCAUCUCCC
rnacentral:tRNA from 1 species